rnacentral:rRNA from 1 species
CCUGGCGACAGGAUGCCAAUCCCCAAAACCUCUCUCAGUUCGGAUCGAAGUCUGCAACCCGACUUCGUGAAGCUGGAUUCGCUAGUAAUCGCGCAUCAGCCACGGCGCGGUGAAUACGUUCCCGGGCCUUGUACACACCGCCCGUCAAGCCAUGAAAGCCGGGGGUACCUGAAGUACGUAACCGCAAGGAUCGUCCUAGGGUAAAACUGGUAAUUGGGGCUAAGUCGUAACAAGGUAAC